AUGACGACGCCUGCGAAUGCCCAGAAUGCCAGUAAAACGUGGGAACUCAGCCUCUAUGGGCUGCACCGGACUCCGCAGGAAGCCAUCAUGGAUGGCACAGAGAUUGCCGUUUCCCCUCGGUCGCUGCACUCAGAACUCAUGUGUCCCAUCUGCCUGGACAUGCUGAAGAAUACAAUGACCACCAAGGAGUGCCUCCACCGAUUCUGCUCCGACUGCAUCGUCACAGCCCUCAAGAGCGGAAACAAGGAGUGCCCCACCUGUCGCAAGAAGCUGGUAUCCAAGAGGUCUCUUCGGCCAGACCCUAACUUUGAUGCCCUGAUCUCAAAGAUCUAUCCCAGCCGGGAGGAAUAUGAAGCCCACCAAGACCGGGUGCUCAUCCGCCUCAGCCACCUGCACAACCAGCAGGCACUGAGCUCCAGCAUCCAGGAGGGUCUGCGCAUGCAGGCCAUGCACAGGGCCCAGCGAGUGAGGCGGCCGAUGCCUGGGUCCGAUCAGACCACAACGAUGAGUGGGGGGGGGAAGGAGAACCUGGGGAGGGAGAAGGGGAUGGAGAGGAUGUGAGCUCAGACUCUGCCCCUGACUCUGCCCCAGGCCCUGCUCCCAAGCGACCCCGUGGAGGGGGUGCCGGGGGAAGCAGUGUAGGGACAGGGGUUGGUGGCACUGGCGGGGUGGGUGGGGGUGCUGGUUCUGAAGACUCUGGUGACCGGGGAGGAACUCUGGGAGGGGGAACCCUCGGACCCCCAAGCCCUCCUGGGGCUCCAAGUCCCCCAGAGCCAGGUGGAGAAAUCGAGCUACUGUUCCGGCCCCACCCCCUGCUCGUGGAAAAGGGAGAAUACUGCCAGAUUAGGUAUGUGAAGACAACUGGGAAUGCCACAGCGUACCAUCUCUCCAAGUACCUGGCCCUGCGCAUUGCCCUUGAGCGGAGGCAGCAGCAAGAGGCAGGGGAGCCAGGAGGCCCUGGAGGGGCUCCCUCUGACGCUGGAGGACCUGAUGGGGGUGGCGGGGAGGGCGGGGGUGCCGGAGGCAGUGACGGCCCUGAGGAGCCUGCUUUGCCCAGUCUGGAGGGUGUCAGUGAGAAGCAGUACACCAUCUACAUCGCCCCUGGUGGUGGAGCUUUCACGACGCUGAAUGGCUCACUGACCCUGGAGCUAGUGAAUGAGAAAUUCUGGAAGGUGUCUCGGCCUCUGGAGCUCUGCUACGCUCCAACCAAGGAUCCAAAGUGACCCUGCAAGGGUACAGCCAGAGGACGGGGACCACAGGGUGGCCUGUGUCCCGGCCUCCUACCCCAGCUUCUCUGUCCCCCAUUGCCCUCCCAACCCAGCUGACCAGCAAAAGGACACAAUUGAGGAAAAGUCGCUUUUAUACAAAGUAUCUAUAUCAGAUUCUUCUAUAUUGUACAGAGAGGGGCAUGUGCCCCCACCUACUGCCUUUUCUAUUGAUGCCCAGCUUCCAGUCUGUAUAAAAUGUUGGGGAAGGUGAAGAGCCCUCCCCAUCACUCCUUCUCCCCAAGACAACAAAUUUGCUUUUUGUUCCACUUUGAAAAAA